UCGCCACGUAGCUAGCCGUUCAUUUUGGAUUUGGAAGAGAUCGUAGCAAGGUGGUUCGUUUCCUUUGCCCAGCGGCCUGGUGCCGCCUGAUGGCUUCUAGCUAUAUCGCGGUUUAAGCCGCCUAAUCCUCGUUGGAUGUGAAUCGUCCUGUGCAGUUGAAGCCCCGGGUGCAUUGAAAUUAUGCAAGUCCUUUCCUACGCCCGCUUAUUGUCUGCCCCGGGGUUUCAAGAUUUACCGUCUUUAUUACAAGUUUACGGGGUGGCCUCAAGAUGCCAGCUUCUACAAGCCGAGCUACCAGUGGCAAGGAGCUGUGCCAGGCAUUUCCAUACUUCCACGCAGAGGUUCCUGGCCAACGUGGCGGUUGUAUUGUUUACGGUCUUUCGAAGUUUUGGAGGUUAGAUCGACCCUUUAUUUAAUAUUUAUUACUGAACCAGAGAUGCUGGUUCUGGCGCCCUCAUACCCUUAGUACCCUUUAAGUUUGUUUGUCAGUAGGCCGCUUCUACCAAAACAUUUUUAAAAAGAGUUCGCUAUACCCAUAACUGUUCCCUCAACACUUAAAUAAGAGUCUGAUGCUCAUGUUAUUUAGAUAAGAGCUAGUUUACCUUAAGUUCCUGUCAUUAAGGCCCUUAAGGCUC